CAGCAGCCACGGUAAUGCGGAGGGAGCUAGCGUUAUUCGGAAUUACUGGGCGUAAAGCGCACGUAGGCGGCUUUGUAAGUUAGAGGUGAAAGCCUGGUGCUCAACACCAGAACUGCCUUUGAUACUGCAUCGCUUGAAUCCAGGAGAGGUGAGUGGAAUUCCGAGUGUAGAGGUGAAAUUCGUAGAUAUUCGGAAGAACACCAGUGGCGAAGGCGGCUCACUGGACUGGUAUUGACGCUGAGGUGCGAAGGCGUGGGGAGCAAACAGGAUUAGAUACCCCUGUAGUCCCUGUCUCUUAUAC
rnacentral:rRNA from 1 species